rnacentral:lncRNA from 1 species
AAAAAAAGCCUUAAGUGAUUUUACUCUUUUUUUUUUACUUUUUUUUUUAAUGUAUUUUUUAUGAUUAUUAUAUAUUGAUUUAAAUAUAGUAAACUUUGAUCAGAUAUUGUGCUUUUCAUUAUGUAUAUUUGCCCUAAUCCUUUAACAUUUGUUAAAAAAAAAAUUUGGUAUGUGGUUUGGCUGUUAUUCUCAUUUGGAUUUCGUUAAGCUUUGAUUCAGAAUCGAAUAUUGUAUAUGAGUGGUUAUUGUCUGAUUUAUUUUUCAC